rnacentral:lncRNA from 1 species
UGCAAAUCCCUUUGGAAAAAUAGAAUUUAUGCUCCCACGUCAUUUAUAUGCCUUUGAUAAUUUACCAGGAGCUGUUUAUGGACCAGAGCUGAAAGGCCAAGACUCUGAGCAUCACAUUGGUUUUAAAUUGAGAAGAUGUUGUAUGAAAUCCAGCUUUAUUACCCAUGUGCGGGCAGAAGAAAGGUAAAGAGCUGUCUCCAAGGAGUGGUGACUCUGCCCUGCUGCCUUGUUCACAGGCUGUGCAAGGACACAAUUUCAUUUCAUGAGGAAAUUUCAUUUGGGCCUGUGGAAAAAUCCUAUUUCUCACCUGUGCCCAGGGCUGUGAAUCCCCUCUCUGGGAACCUGGAACUUCCUAUGCAUGAAGAAAAACUGUUUACAUGA